ensembl:lncRNA
AGGUGAUGAUAUUUUUAGGAAGCAGAAUUUGAAUGCCCACCAACUCAAAUGUUGAAGCCUACAAAUAUAUCAUCCAAGCUUUCAUUUAUGAUUGUUCAUGCUUUUAAAUUGUGAUGUCAGAAUUUGAUAAAGUGUGCACUGCUAGGUGUAGGAAAUCAUUGCUUAUUAAAUCUACUCUGUUAUCUAAUAGCACCAAACUAAUAGAGCUAUCACAUAACUGAGAAACUUGUGUGGCUUAUUAUAAAUGGAUGAAACCACAUUUUACCUUAAUGAAGACAGUAAUCUUUAAUAAGGUGUAGAAAAAAAGAGGUGAGUUGUUUGUUGCUGUGGUAAACAAAGAAGUGUACUGAAUCUUUUGGACUACACAGAGUGAUGCAGUAUUGAUUGUGAUGCUGAUUUGAGUUGUUUCAUUCUGUGUUUUUGUGCUUUGUCUUUUGUUACACAGAGUGAAAGAAAUCUUUGGUUUUGCCUUUGCUGACUGCUGAUCUGAUCGUCUCAAGUCUGGACUUGGAUGAGAACAAGAUUUAUGCCAAUCCCGAGGUAACUGCAGCGCUCCAAACCAUGAGACAAGCCAGCGUUGAGGAAAUGAUGCCUCUUCUUCAGGUCAGAGAAACAGCCAGCAGACCUGACACUCUUACACUGAUCCAUCACAAUACGGAAGGUUUGCCAUCUCACAUCAGUGACAUCAAGAGUCAUCAUGAAAUGUGUUUAGCAGAUGUUUUGUGUCUCACAGAGUCUCACCUCCAAGGCUCCUUUGUUGCAGACAGUCUUCAUUUGGACGGCUACACCAUGUUCAAACGCAACAGACAUGUGUCCUACACAAACUUUCCUCACAUGGCCAGCAGAAGUGGUGGUGGAGUUGUUGUGUAUUUGAGGAAUCAUUUUCAGGUUCAGACCUCCAGACUACAGUUUGGCACCGUUCAUGCAAAACCUGCCACAGCAGAAUCUUCAUUCAGGUGUCCUGAGGACAUAUUACAGUUACCACAACCCUGUGUUUUGUGUCCUGUCCUCCAGCCAAUCAUGAAGUUGUCUGACAGGGCACACACAGUCCUGUUUCCUUUGUGGGAAAACCUUCAAACUUCACCAUCCUCAGCUGAAACAACAACAUCUUAACACCAUCUUCAUGAACUGCUGAGCCAAACCUGAUCCAUCAGUGCUGGACUGCACAGAUAACUACAUGCCACAAGGAGACUGCUGUUUUAUGAACUGCCAUACCAGUGUGUCUUCAAUGGAGAAGAUGACACACCCAUCACCUGACCUCCUGCCUGAUCUGGAGACCAUCAUCAUGCUGCCACACUACACACCUCUGAGACCAUCAAUGAUGACUCAUACUGAGGAAACUGUAUUUGCUGUCAGAAAUGCUCAGUGAUCCUCAGAGCAGAGAGAGGUAUUGCUGUCUUCUGAGUUCUUCAGUGUCCCAACUGAGACAUUCAAACCUCAUCACAGAGCUCCUGUCUUUCCUCACCAUCAUGUGAGUGUGAGAUUGCUCUGGAUUCUGGUUAUGUGGCCUGCAGCACCUAUAAGAACAAGCUCGUCCUGUGUGCCUGCAUUCCAGCUUCUUAGACUCUACGCAAGUGGACAGAGUAUCAGUGUUUGGCCACCCUUACAGACACCGACUUCUGUCAACUCACUGCUACUGAUCAGGCACCUCACUCCAGGAAGACAGAGGGCUGCAAGCCUGUCAUCGCUUCCAGUGUGGCUUUGUAUUCUUGGGGUAGUAUCAGAUUUUUCCCACAAAUAUUCAAAGAUUUAUAUGCAGUGAUCGGAUGUGGUGGAGCUUUGUUAACUGUGUGGAAAACAUCUGUUUGUGAUUAUAUUUACAAUGAGGCUUUAAGGUGACAGUUUCCAUGUAAUUUCAAUCCUUUUACUAAGCAAAAACAUGUUUGUAAUUAACAUAUUUUUUUCAGUUUUGUCUUUUGGAUUUAUGGUUAACAUUCCUCUGUGACAGCAAAUACUAAACUGGUCCAAGUAACCAGCAUAUCAUUGGUCAAAGGCAAAAGGACCACAUGUCACACUAGCAAUGAAUUGUUGACUGUGUUUGUGUCACCAGAUUUAACAAACAAUAUCAGACAUAUGAAACUGAACUCUGGAUUAAUGUGCAGAUGUUUUUUGUGUUUUUUUUUUAUUGUUGAAUAAUUAUUUUGUAGGACAAACCCAAUCUAUUUACCCAAACAAUGUAACUUGUUUGGGUAAAUAGUGGAUUAAUAUAUCUAAGUCUAUAAGUAUAGCAAGCUGAAUUCAUACAAACACACAGCUCUAAAUCUUGAAUUGUAGGAUGUACAAAAAUGAUCAUGUGAUUAUUAUGGACAUUGAAAUAACUAUAUCUAUUGAACCAUUACACAUAUUCUUUAUAGAAAUUACACAAUC